UGAUGAAUAUUACCCAAGCCUAUAUGUUAAGCAGAUUGGAACGUUGGUGAAGAUAAAGAAAUUGAGUGAAUAAAAAAGAAGGAUUGAUGUGGUGAUGCAGGCUCCACAAGGCAAUGGGAGAAGUCUCAGACCAAGAGCAUUGGUGGCAGAGUUUAUCCAGGAGAGGAAGAAUCCUUUUUACUGAGAAGGGAAAGACGAUCUCAGGUGAAGAAACAGUGAAACACUUUAGAUGCAUAUAAUUUCUCACUGUUUCUACACAGGUCAUGCUUUUCAUGCCUCUAUGCAUUUACACAGAAUGUUUCCUCUGCUUAGAAUUUUCUGCCCUGUCUUUCCCACUUAGCUCAUCAAAUUCUUCACUGAACUCUAUCCUGCUUCUGUCCUAUGCAGGUUUUGUUUUUUUUUUUUUCCCACUACUUCAGUGCGCCCACAUGCUUUUUAAGUACUGAAAUUAUAGACAUUAUUCGUUCACUCAAUUACUCAAAAAUAUUUUAAAAGCAUACUAUCUAAUAGGCACUGUUUUAGUCUGGGACAUCACAAGAAUUUAUAGGAUGGGCAUAGUUUCUGCCUUCAUAUAAGCUUAUAUUCUGAUGGGGAAGACACCCUGCAGACAAGGAAGUGGACAGAUGAAUUAAAUAUUUCCGCUUUACUAAGUGCUGUGAAGGAAACAAGCAAAGGGAAAAGAGGGAAUAUAAAAGCAGUCAGUGAGUGAGGAGGUUUCUACUUUAGAUGGGAAGGAAGGUCAGGAUGGGGAGAAGGCUGUCCUUAAGCUAAGCUCUAAAAGAAGAGAAAUCAGUGCCACGUGAACAGUUUUGCGAGAGCACUGGAUGAAGAAGGUACUCCAGGCAGAGAAAACAGCAGGUGCAAAGGUCCUGAGAAGGAAUGUGCUUUGCCAUGUGAAAGAAACUAAUAGAGCUGAGAAACUCCACAGUGGCCUGAGAAGUGCUAAUGCAGUGGUAAUCCACAUGUGUUUUUACCUUGACAUCUAAAUUUAAAUGAUUAUUAAAUUAAAUAUAAAAUUCAGUUUUCAGUGUCACUACCCACGCGUCAAGUGCUCUAGUGCCAGGGGAGGCUCGUGGCUAUUGUAUUGGACAAUGAAAAAACAAAAUAUUUCCAUCAUCUCAGAAAGUUCUCUUGGACGGCAGUGCAUGGACUAGGGCAUAGCAAGUAAAGAGGAGAAAAACAGAGGCUGUGGACACAGCAAAAAAGACACCGACAGACCAAACAUCAAAACUUUUUUUUUUUUUAAGGGCACCUGCAGCAUAUGGAAGUUCCCAGGCUAGGGGUUGAAUUGAAGCUGCAGCUGCUGGUCUACACCAGAGCCACAGCCAUGCUGGAUUCUUAACCUCUUGAGUGAGGCCAGGGAUCAAACCUACAUCCUCAAGGAUACUAGUGGGAUUCGUUUCUGCUAUGCCACAGGAACUCCCAAAACAUUUUUGAUAAAUGAGCUAAUAAAUGAAUGAGUGGAAAUUGAGGUCAUUAUAUCAAAUUGGUUUAAUCUCUUCCACUCAUUGAAAGGGAAUGGCUCAAACAGAAAAA
rnacentral:lncRNA from 1 species